UGAGAAAAUGGAGACGGCAAGGAGGUAGUUUUGCAAGGUCAUUUGGUCAAGACAUUGCUCUAGAAAAAUAUCCUGGCAUCUUAUGGAGUCCCAGCACAUCGUUUCUUGAGAGAAGUAGAUGAACGCCAUUCUCCAGACAAACCAAACCAGGAAGGAGCCAUGUUAAGAAGCAAGUUUUAAAAAACAACAGUAACAACAAAACAUACUUCAUGGGGGAGACCUGCAAAUAGAAUGUUAAUCCUUGACAGCCGUCCAGAGUGAGUUCCCCGGCUGGAAGCCAUCUGUCUGAUAAGUCAUUCAGAAAAGUUCCCCAUCCUCAGGUCUUUAAAGAUGAAUGCCUAUCAGCAAGAAUGGCCCCAGCUGCGUGCCGAAGCCUCAAGGCCCUGACUUCUCUUCCUGGCUCUGAUGUCCCUUCUGAAGUCAUCCAGUUUUUACAUCUUGAGCACGAAAAGCCUCCCCCUUUCCACUCUCCUUCCUCCUGCUGAAUUCUUCUUCAUUCUUCAAGAUCCAACUAAAAGAACUCUGGACUCCCAUGAGAAUAGCUGCCCAUCUUCUCCUCCAAGCCACCGCUCUAGAGUAGGUGAUUAAAAGCCCAAGCUUUGACGUCAGACUUGUGUGGGUUUAGAUCCUGGAUUUAUCACAUACCAGUUGGUGACUUUGGGCAAGUUAUUUAACUUCAGUGCUUCCGCAUCCUUAUUUGUAAAAAUGGAGAUUAAAAUACAUAGUUCCUCUCUUAGAAGGAAAGUAUUCAUUCAGCAAAUAUUUCCUAACUAUCUAUCAUACAUCAAAACAGAAAAAAACUCCUGCUAUGGCAUAACUUAGAUUUUAGAGCAGAGUUUGGCAAACUACAGUCCCUGCACCAAACUGAGUCACCUGUUUUGUAGAUAAAGUUUUCUUGGAACACAGCCACACCCAUUCAUUUAUGUACUGUCUGUGGUCACUUUCCAAGCUAUACUGGCUGAGAUUAAUGGUUGUGACAUAGAUCACAGGGCUGGCAGAGCCAAAACUAUUUACUUUUAAGAAAAUAUUUAUUGUUAAGAAACAGUUUUUUAGCUCCUGCUUUGGUGAAAUUGAGUUGUAGUUUAAAAUUUAAAACAUUGCCUGGCACUUGGGAAGCUCUCAGUAGAUGCCAGCAUUACUAACAUUACUGCAUACUCACAAUAACGCUUAGCUGCUCAGUAACAGAGGAGUAAAGAGGAAUCAGAAGUUGACCGCGUGGAAGCUGUUGGAGGAAGAGUUUUAAGAAGGUGGAAGUGGUCAGCCAGGUUAGGUUACCAAUCAAUACUGAAGAAAGAUCACCAGAUUUAGCAAUCAGAUAAAGAGAUCUAACCCCAGAGCAGCUUGGGUGAAGUUUUGUUGUUGUUGUUUAGUUGCUAGAUCAUGUCCGAUUCUUUCAAGGCCUGGUGGACUGUAGCCUGCCAGGCUGCUCUCCAUUUCCUUCUCCAGGGGAUCUUCCCAAAGCAGAGAUUAAACUUGCCUUUCCUGCAGCUUCUACACUACAGGUGGAUCCUUUACCACUGAGCCCUUGGGGACCAACAACAACAAUAAACCUCAGAGCAGCUUGUGUGAAGUGGUGAGAACAAAAGCUAGACUAUGGUAGGUGUAGGAGGGAAUGGAAAUGAGGAAGAAGAGAUAGGAAAGUAGAGAUUAUACAGCUAUGGGAGAGCAAGCACUGAGAUAAAAAUGAACACAUUUAAUCUGCUACCAGCAUUUUAAAAGAUCUGCUAACCAAAAAUAUCAGGUUUGAUAUGUUGGAGUAUCUGAUGGUUUUUCUGCUCAUCCUUUACUAUCUGAGCCACUGGGGAAUCCGCUAAGCUGUUUGGUGUUGGAUAAAAGGUUAAUGGUUAAAAUUUGAGUCCAGAACUAGAAGACAGACUUCAGGCAGAACCUUCAAGUCCAGGCUAUUAAAAGAUUUAUGAUGAUGUUGCUGAUGAUAAUGUUUGUUCUUUUUGUGAUGUUUAUCAUUGUGUUAACUGGUGUGAAAUGAGAAUUCCAAUGCAAAUGAUGAUGUAAAUUUGCUUACAGAUUAUUUAUUGUUAAUUGUAAAACAAAAAUGAUACAGGAUGUUUUAAAAUACAUAUUGUAUUUUAUUCAAAUAUAUACUAUAUAAAGGAAAAAAGUCUAUAAAGAUACACAUUCAGAGUAUUAACAGGGGUUAUACCAAGGAGGUAGGAUUAUUGAAAUGUUAUUUCCCUUGCAAUAUUUUUUUACACUUCAAAUAUUUGUACAAUGAACAGGGCUUACUUUUAUAAUCACAAAUAACAAGGGAACAAACCACCACAUGUUAAGAGCACACAACCUAUCAGUUCAGUUCAGUUGCUCAGUUGUGUCCAACUCUUUGUGACCCCAUGGACUGCAGCACACCAGGCCUCCCUGUCAUCACCAACUCCCAGAGUUUACUCAAACUCAUGUCCAUUGAGCCAGUGAUGCCAUCCAACCAUUUCAUGUGCACUGGUAAAAAGUGGCUUAAAUAACAAGGAUGUACUCUUACACAUAACCUAGAGUCCAGAGGUAGGUGAGUUCCAAGUCUGGUUAACUCAGGAGCUCAACAACUUCAGGAUUCUUGGUCAGCUCUUCUUUGACUGUUUUGGUUUUCACCUCCUGGGAGCGCUGAACAUCACUGGUAGAGGGGAGCACUCCCUCUAACCACAUAUCUCUCUUUUGUUCAUAGAUUCAAAUCUUUCCCAGAAUUUCCCUAGCAGACACCUUUCAUUUUACUGGUCACCCUGUGACAGUUCAGUAUAAGGAAGAACAGGAAAAAAAAAAAAAAAAACCACCCAGUUAAAAGAAGAAACCAUAGCCAUCCCUAAACCAAGAACUAGAGAAAGGGAUUACCAUCACUGCCCUAGACCAGCAGUGCUCAGUAGAAUUUAACAUGAGCAAAAAUGCAAGAUAAAAAUGUACAGCUCCCUGAGUAGUUUUUGGAAAGCCAAAAGCAACUUUUCAUUUUCCCCUUCAGGAAUGAGCUUCCACAUCAGUAAGCAACAAUGCCUCCCAUCACCAUAACUAGAAGUAAUGCCAAGGGUACAUCCUGUAUUAUUCCAACAAAGGCACCUUAGUUAUGGAAUUUGGACUUUGAGUUCCUGAGGUAUGAUUUUGGAUGUGACCCUGACUAUCUGUGUGGUCUUAAUGGAGUCCCUUGGCUUAUCUGAUUUCCUGUUUCCUCAUCUUUAAGAUGAGGUUUAACCUAGUUUAACCAGGUGGUUCUUUAAUGUUCUUUCAACUUGAGUACUCCAUUAUUUUAUUAAUAUACUACUGUUCAACUGUGGACCUUCCCAGCCCCUAUCUGAAACCAGAAAGCUAGGCCAGCAACACACAAGGAGUCACUCAGAAGGGCAUUUUCUCUGAUGCCACAGAGCAAAAUGCACUUUUAGAGGAAAAGAAAGAAGGCAAGACAUGAUGAUGUGUCAUUCACUUACUCAGUAAGUAUUACAGGGUACCCGCUCAUUAGAAAACACCUUGAUGCUGGGAAAGAUUGAGGGCCCGAGGAGAAGGGGAUGACAGAGGAGAUGGUUGGAUGGUAUAACUGACUCAAUGGACAUGAGUUUGAGCAAGCUCUGGGAGAUGGUGAAAGACAGGGUAGCCUGGCUUGCUGCAGUCCAUGGGGUCGCAAAGAGUCGGACAUGACUGAGCGACUAAACAACAAUUGUAGCCAGAGUGACUACUGGAUAAGAGAAAAAGAUGUGUUCUCUGCUCUCCGGGAGCUUGGGAGACAAGCAGAUAUCAAAUUACAAAAGCUGUAAAGAGCUCUAGGACAGAAGAUGAUGAGAGCACGAAACGGAGGAGCACCCAGCCCAGCUAAGAGGAGGGACAGGCGCCUCCCUGGAGCAAGUAAU
rnacentral:lncRNA from 1 species